rnacentral:rRNA from 1 species
UACGGAGGGUGCAAGCAUUAAUCGGAUUGAUUGGGCGUAAAGGGCGCGUAGGCGGGGAGGCAAGUCAGAUGUGAAAUCCCGGGGCUCAACCUCGGAACAGCAUUUGAAACUGCCCCUCUGGAGGGUAGGCGGAGAAAACGGAAUUCCACAAGUAGCGGUGAAAUGCGUAGAUAUGUGGAAGAACACCAGUGGCGAAAGCGGUUUUCUAGCUUAUACCUGACGCUGAGGCGCGAAAGCAAGGGGAGCAAACAGG